rfam:Starkeya novella DSM 506, complete genome.
CCGUACAGCCCUCCUUGGGCGUUUCCUCCCUAGACUUGGGCCGCUGCCGAAAGGUCAGCGGCCUCUUUCUUUUGUGCGC